rnacentral:lncRNA from 1 species
CUGCCCGCCCAUUGGCGCCGUGAAGCCCCACCCCUGCUCCGCCGGUGUAGUGCGGGCCGCUGGGGCGAUUCCACGUGUAACGGACUGUGGCCCGGUAAAGGUCAGGCGGAGGCAUUUCUUCUGCCCACCCUCCAGAGGGUUCCUGCAUUCCUCCGACUGCAAGUUGGGAAGUAUAAUAGUAUAAAGAAAAAAUGUUGCCUGCCAGUCCUGUUCGCCGAGGAUCAAGCCCUGAGCCACUGUACUUGCCCACCCACCGUGUGCCCUGAGGGGAAUUCAGAAUGGAGAAAAACAGGAAACAUUCUGUACUAUAGAUAUACUGGCUUCAGUUAAGCUGUAUCUCUAAGGAAAAUUCUCAACUGACCCCAUAUUCUUGCAUCUUCUCUUUCAUAGAAUGACACUAAAAGCAUUAAUUUGAGAUGUCUGUUCUUUGCGAUUAGCAGCAAUCUUUUGAUGCUUGACUAGAUGUCUUUCCCCUCAAAAGAGUUCAUAUAUAUCCUAGCUUGUUCCUUACCUCUUGAGAGCAGAUCCUCAGAGCCGAGAAGCUGUCUCCUCCACUAUAGUCCCCAGUAAGUUCCCUUAAUAAAACUUUUAACUCACAACUUCUAUGUUGUACGUUUUUCUUUUAGUCAGCAGUAAGGAAUUUUAAUUCUUCUCAUGACGAAACAGCCAAAAACACUGGAGCUGGCCUUGGAUCCCUCGUUUCCAAGACUGGCCUACGUGCAGCCUCUGAUUGCUCCAUUCUGCAAGCUGCAUCGUCUACAAUACACAUUCACUUGUAUAUGAGUCCCACCAAGAUUUUAUGGGCAGCCCAGUUCAAAUACCACUUUACCUGUGCGGUUUGUGAAAUCAGCCAUCAUUCAAGACAGGAAAAAGCACUCCCAAAAAACUGACCCACUAACAAAGGAAACAAACAGAUAAGCCCCAUAUGAUUCUGCCCUUAUACCUUUUCUCCUAUAUAAGACUGUUCAGUGAAUGGCUAUUGAUCAGAUGGGUAAGUGAAUGUAGGACUGUCAUUUUUAAAAUUCCUUCUCCCAUUUGUGCC